AAAAUAAACGAUUAAAUGUAGUAUCUAUAAAGUAGAAGUGAUAGUUAUAAUGGUAUAUAU
rnacentral:guide_RNA from 1 species